rnacentral:rRNA from 1 species
AUGAUUCAUCCAAAGAAGCUGGCUCAACUGGCUAAGAAGUUGCAGAGGCUGGUGUCAGCCGGUGGCCAGGAGACUGCAGACACCGACGGAUGCUGCAGCACUGCUUCUGUUGCAGACAAGGGCCAUUGUGUUGUGUACACCGCCGAUGGAUCACGGUUCGAGGUCCCGUUGGCUUACCUUGACACAGUGGUCUUCAGAGAGCUCCUACGGAUGUCUUAA